rnacentral:misc_RNA from 1 species
AGUUGGGGUUUUGCUCAGGUGGGACAGAGAGGGCCUGGUAGCAAACAUGGCAGGGCGGAUCCGAUGGCUGGAUGAGGCACAUUCCAAAGGGAACGGUGUUGGAGCACCCAGUCCCCAGAAAGAUCAAAGCUGAUCUAACCGCAUCAUGAAUGCUGUUUUGUGUGAGAUCUUGAGUUUCCAUUGCAGUUGAGUUCUUACUCGGCUUACCAGAGACAAACUAUAUAGGCUAAAAGGUGGAUGUAAAAGAUGUUUUCUGGUGUGGAUUAUUGGAUGGACGCUUGAGUUUGGAAGGAGGAAAUUGAACGGCAAUGGCAAUUUGCCUAGUAUUCUUUGUCACUUGAAGCUUUUAAGAUUUACAGAUGAAAGAAACUAAUAAGAAACUCCAAGAGGACCAAGAUAGUCUGGUGCUUUGACCUUUUCUACUUGCUAUUCAAACUUAUUAAUUUAUAAACAAACAAUAAAUUAGGCAGGUCUCCGUGAAAUUUACUUAAAUUGUAGUUAACCCCAGAAGCCAACAGUAUUUAUCUCCUUUGAGAAAAAAAAAAAAAAAUCCCUGCCA